UACGUAGGGUGCAAGCGUUAAUCGGAAUUACUGGGCGUAAAGCGUGCGCAGGCGGUUAUAUAAGACAGUUGUGAAAUCCCCGGGCUCAAGCCUGGGAACCUGACAUCUGUGACUGUAUAGCUAGAGUACGGUAGAGGGGGAUGGAAUUCCGCGUGUAGCAGUGAAAUGCGUAGAUAAUGCGGAGGAACACCGAUGGCGAAGGCAAUCCCCGUGGACCUGUAC
rnacentral:rRNA from 1 species